AACAGUUGGCAGUUAACAGUCGGGAGGGUAAAACACAAUCAUGGUGCCAUAAAAGAGUGAAGGAGCCGGCAUUACACACAGACAGCCCGCAGAAGGGCAGCAACGUUUUGGAGCUCCUUUUAGUUCUCUUUAUUGAUAUAUUUUAAUUGAACCCAGAUUUUUUUUUUCCUGUCUAGCCCUUGGAGACAAGCUCUGCCAGAGCUCGUAUAGCAGAGAGAAGGUCUUGAGAUUAGUGAUACUCAGCGUUUCUGACACUGGAGACCUGCAUAAGAAUUUAACAAACUGGGAAGCAGUUUUCAUGACAACCCUUUUCAUUGCAUAGAUGUUACCAAGAGUUUGGGGGUGUUUUUAAGAAAAGCCAUUAGGCUGGAAGUCAGACACACCUGGAUUUGAGAUCCGCUCUGCUACUUCGUACUUGCGUGGUUUUGAGGAAUCAUUUGGCCUCUUUUCAGGUUUUAGAUCCUUCACCUGUAAAAUGAGGAUGGUUGUGAGAAAGGGAAAUUGCUCUGUAAACAGUGAAGCACUAUUCAAAUGCUCAGGCUUUGUAAAAAAUUGAUGGAAAAUGUCAUAAGAAGUGGGCAGUUCUGGUUUGCUUCCAUUGCUAUAGGAAGCUGGCACACACAAGAAAGUUUAUUGACAGCAGCUGAGAUGUGCUGAAGCUGGUAAUUAUCUUCAAGACAGGCUGAGUUUUGAUUGUACGUAAGGGUGCCUGGUAGACCUAUCAAUCAGACAUAUGCCUUGAUGUAAUGCUGACAGUCUAUUUACACAGAGGCAGCUGUGAUAUUAUAAAAGAAUGAAAGGCAUGCUGAAGGUCUAAGUUGUUGUAGGAUGGUAAAAAUCUGGUGUGAACAUGAGCGAAAGAGUUUCUGAAUUUUCAUUAUGAUCCAGCAUUUUAGAGAUGUAUGAAAACUUAGCAAUGAUUGAAUUCAACCCCUUCUCCGCAUGGAUAAGGACACUGACACCCAUUAAUGUCUGAGUGGUUAUUAAUGCAGAGAGAAAAAGUCACUGUUACCUGUCUUUUAUGAAUGUGCUAACUCAUUAAUCUAUAAACAACACUUCUUCUAAUAUUUAGCAUUUAACAAUUCCAAAUAUUUAUUCACUAUUUACACAUAAUCAGCAAAAGCACAAAACUUCGCAUUAAAUCUCCCCAGACAUUUAAGCAUUCAUUACAAAUUUGUAAUCAAGCUCUUAGAUAAACAAAUAAUUAAAACUAUGAAUCUAAUAAAUCAGAUUUGUUGGCAUGCUCUAAACACCUUAAGAAGUGACAAUACAUGCACAGAAUGUCACUUUGAUUACCGAAAUUAUUAUACUAUGGGGAAAUGGCUUGCUGAGACCCUGAAGAGCCAGAGAGAAGAUACUGCUCACACAUGUGAAGGAUACACACUCUGUUUUCUCCUCCUUCUGUAUGAGAGAGCCUGCUGAUGUUUUGUGACUCAAAAAGUACGAGGAGGUCUAUGAGCAUAUUUUCAAUUAAGCGCAUGAGUUGUCGGCAUAAAUUCUUUCUGAAAUGAUGAUACAAUUCCAUAGCAAAACCAGGUUAUAGUAUAGUGGAAAUGAGUACCUUAGCUCUGUUAGCCUCCUACUCCAAGGACUGUAUUUCUGAAGGGAGCACACUUGUUUUGGGAAUUCUGGGAGCCAAGGGCUGGCUGCACUGUGAAUGUGUUUUGCUGCUCCAGCUUCUUAUGGCCCCAGAUUUCUGAUCAUAUUCUGCAUCCUUGGCUAAUUCUCUCAGGAAUUUUACAGUGAAAAGGAGAACAAGAGUGAGAACACAAGAAUAAGAUCAAGAAAGGUCUCUUCUCACCAGUGCUAUAAUCCACCUGAAAAGCUGUAGCCACUUGCACUACUAAAACCAGUCAUAAAAGUGCUAAUACAGUACACUAUGAAUUUAAAUUUGUGUCUUUAUUCUCUUCAUUCUAAUUGUUACUGUUUAAUGUUAUAGCUUCCCAAGGUUAUUAGUGUUAUACCUUUCCAGUAUCACAGUAAUUUUUAUAGGAUAUAAUUGCUAUACUUUCCCAGACAGAGUCACUGAAUUUACAAAAGCCCCCAAAGGAAAAAAAAAAAAUAGGACUUCAGAACAGCUGAGUUUAUAGGUUCAGGAGUUUUGACACAGAACUGGCCAUUCCUGAGACUGUCCUUGCCUGUGUGGUUGAAGAUGGACACGAGCACAUCAGAAUUCCAGCAGCAGGGUGGGAAGAGGAAGUGGAACGGAAGAAAUGCCUUUUUCUUUGACAAGCGUGACCCAGAAGUUUCCUCUCUCUCUUCUGCUCAUUUUUAUCUGGGAACUUGGCCACACCCAGCAGCAAGGGAGGCUGGAAAUAACGCUGCCCAUGCCCAGACCAAAAAUGGGGUGUCUUUUUAGUCUAAAAGGAGGGAGGAACUAGCACUGUGUGACAUCUAACAGUGUCUGCCACUGUCCAUGCUUUUGGCCACCAGAUAUUUGUGGGUCCUCCUCACAGACACAUCUACCCUCUCUCUGAGGGAGACGAGGCCCAAAUGCCUCGAUUCCAUGCAAAGAUCAGGAGCACCUGCAGGAAAAGCACUUGGGACCAGGAGGAGCUCCUGGAGAAGCUGGAUCACUCUGUUACCCCCAAGCUCUCCCUUACCCCAUACUUAACAGUGGUUCUGUAUAGGAAAAUUGCAAUAACAUUUCCCAUUCUGAAAAAAGAUAAGAAAACACGUAUAAGUUACUCAGGUCCAUAUCAAUGCUCAAAUCUUGCUGAGCAGGAGCUAAAAAGUCUUUUUUCUAUGUUAGCAGGCGAAUCUCUGGGUCAGUCCAUCUGGCAACCCUGGUUGUACUUUCCAGGAGAGCCUCCCUUGGCUGACAUGGUCCAGAAGAUUCUCCCCUGUCCAUCUGAAGCAGACAUUUAGGCGAUGGCCCUGGGAGGGGUGGGGAGGGGCUGCAGAGCUUUUACAGUUCCUUCCCUCAGGGGCAUGGUUGGGGCCCCCGGCAGCCUCCUGGCUCCAGGGCUUUGACAAGUCAGACUUAGAGUUUCCUGGGCAGUAAAAUUCCCUAAGAAACCCACGUAGGCUUUAAGAAUAUUUGCUUCCGGUCCAGUUCAUGCACAAAUAACUAAAGACAAAAUCUGGUUUGGCAUGCUUUUAGCCUAAAAACUUUAUUUACUGAUGUCCACGCUCUGCUUAGCCCCAGUGUCUCAAUUUAAAUGCAAUUGUCCUGAGUCUAUCCGAAGAAACAGGCUUGAGUGAGAGGCAACAUCCUUGAUUUGAUCUUUGCUGCUGUCUGUUACUUGACAGAGAGCUCUGGAUAGCGGUGCUUGAGGAAGGCUUGAGGACAAAGUCUGAGCUUUUGCUAAUUCUUUGGAGCUUCCUUGAGGACUCAAAUGGUGUCAUGAGUUCUCUCUCUCUGUCUCUGCAUCUCUUGGCUGUGCUGCCCUCUGGGUCUCAGGCAGGCUUCAUCAGUAUACCUAGGCCUAUAGAAGUCAUUACCACAUCUGAUUUUCCAGGAAGACACGCAUAAUCUCCUCUAGCAUCCAUAUAUAAAGGAUUAGAAAAGUUCCCAAUUGGCCCAGUUGACAUCCGAUACCCACCUGAAUCAGUCAUUAGGCCCAGGGGAUGGAGUUCUUUGGCUAGCCUGGGACAUCUGCCCAUCACAGCAUGGAGCGUCACGAUAGGGGAUCUGACUGGGACCACAUAAAGUACAUGAGAGGUGGCCCUCUUUUUCCUCCCACAAGAAAUGGAGGGAGGUGCUGUCAGACAAAAGGGGAAGGUAGGCUUGGCAAGCAAAAAUGAAAGGCAUCCGAGACAUCUGGCCACCAGCAGGGGCCACAGUGCUCGCGGGGUCUGGAAGGCUUAGUAAAGAUGGGUGGAACUACGCAGUAGUAGUUAAUAAGGUUUGCUAAAACCUGGGCCAUCUCUCUGCAAGUGUCCUUAUGUUAGUUCAGAGGCCCAGAGCAGGCCAGGGUAGAGGCCACAUGGAGACAAAGCAGCAUUUCUUCUGCAGAACUCGGCUAAGUGUAGUCUGAGCCUGGUGCACCCCUGCCUCUGGUCCUGCCCCUGCUAGAUAAAGCUCAGAACGAAACGUCUUUCUCCUCCCACUCCUCUUUCUCUUUGCCUUCUCUCCAAAAGAACCUCCCACCGGCAUCCUUAGCCUGAUCUGGCCCCUCCACUGGCCUCUGAGUGUGGAGUGAGACAGAGCUGAAAUGGAGAAGCCGGGCUUGGCUGGAAGCGAGGAGGGUGGAAGUGAAGUCCGUCACCGCUGGUGGGAGGUAGGUGAGGGCAGAGGCCAGUCACCUCCUACACCAGCCUCACUGGCCAAGUUGGUCAGCGCGGAAUGGAGUCUCAGCCUGUCUUCUUUACCUUCACCACCUUUUGUCGGCCACAACAGUAUGUCCCCUCCUGCAUAGCUUCCUGAACUGUGACCUUGCCACUCUUCCAUCACGAGGUGGUGUCUGUUUCACCACCUCCUGAAGCUGGGCAGGCCCUGGAAGUGAUGCUGUGCUACUCCCAGGCAGAGCCUUUCAUGGGCCCGGUGGCUUUGCUUUCUGCCUCUUGGAAGCCGGCUACAAUGAAGGAAGUUUGUCUAUAUCCUGAGACCACUAUGCUGUGAGCAGCCCGUGAACCCACCGGAGAGGUCUUGCAGGAGGAAAUGGCCCAUGGAGAGAGAGAGAAGCCAAGGAUCACAAGGCACCAGACCCAGAACUUUUAAUAUUACAGAAUUUUAACAAUUUCUCUGAUUCUAUACUGUAUCUCUCCUAUGCUUAAAGUCUAGAAUCCCAAUGGCAUUCAUUAACAUAAUCACUGAUCUUACAAUAUAUAUACAAUAAAUUUAUAUACGAUAAAUAAGAUCACUGAUCUUACUAUAUAUCUUACGAUAUAUAAAUACUGUAAUUCUUACAACAGAUAAAUAUAUUUUACAUUAUUCAAAUAUUAUUAUUUGAAAUAUCAAAUAUUACUAUCUGAAAUAUUAUUAUUAUAAAAGACCACUGCUUUAUGACUAUACAGUCAAAAUACUGAGUCUUAACGUGUUUUGAAAUGAUUCUUUUCCCUGCAUGAUUAUAUCAUCAACUUAAUGUCUAGUUAGGUUCAUUUGUUUCCAUGGUUUUCAGGUUUUAGAGACUGUUUCUUUUUAAAAAUGUAAAACAUGUACGUUGUUCCAAAGUCAAAAUAUGUCCCCAGGUAAUUUGAUUUGAGUUUAAUUUUGUUUUUCAGCCAUGUAAAACAUAUUGAAUAGCUGACAUUGUCCAAAAAAGUUGACAUUCCAUCUCUCCAUCCUGUUCCCUCCAAUCCUCUAUAAUAAUCAUUUCCUUUAGUUUUGGGAUUUAUCCUUCCAUUGUUUCUUUUCAAAAAUAUAAGCCAAUAUGCAUUUACAUGUUUAUAUGUCUAUUAUAUUACCCCCUUUCUUAUGAAAAGGCUUGCACACUAUAAACACUAGUGUGUAUGCCUAAGAGCUAGGGUUUCUAUCUAUCUGUAUUAAUUGAAGUAUCCGAACGGCUACUAUAUGCAAAGCUGGGUGGUAGGCACUAAGAGUCAAGUCUUCAAUGGAGAAGAAACACUUAUACACCAGGUCAUUUCUAUGACUCAAUGUCAGAUUUUCAAGGUUUCAAAUCCUAUGGCUGAUUUCUCCCAUGUGAUUGGGGUCUACCCUAAAUCUGACCUGUGAUGAAGCUCUUGUUUCUGGGGAUAAAUGUGCCGAGAAGUCUUUCAUGUAUCCACAAAUGAGGAUGUUCUUGAUUAAAGAAAUGGCUGAGGUGAGGCAAUUUGCUUGAGACCACAGAAAGUUCCUUUAGAGAAUGUUCCUUGACUUGCCUGGGAUGUGUUCCUAAAGAUGCUUCAGGUAAAGAUUAAGCAAGUGUAGAAAUGGAGUGGAGUGACCUAGACCUAGACCCUGCCCUUGCACUUUGUAUUAGCUACUGAAUUCCAUUAAAUGAGUUGUUAAAUUUUUUAGUCAUUUUUAGGCAUGUGACCUCUGUAUUUCCUAUGAAAAUAUCUAUGGGUCAAUUUUACAUAUAAAUUUUUACAUAUAAAUAUAAAUUUAUUUUUA
rnacentral:lncRNA from 1 species